UCUUCCAGGACUCUGACUGACCUUGAAGGCAUGGAUCUGAAAGAUCCUUCCGUGCUGCAGAAUCCUUGCCUUCAGAUUAUUACUGCAAGGAUAAUUGUCCAGGAAGCCAAACAGAGGAGUGGGACUAGGAGAUGUACCAUAUCCAUCACAUGACAAAGGAAAAGUGUCUCUGGACAGUUCUGACUAGCAGCUUGCAUGGAUACAGAAAGAAAAUCUAAGUGACCCCAAUGAAGGUUUCUUUAGAGCAGGCCUUGGGGAUGUACAUGGCAUGAAGUACACCAUGUUUCAGUAUAUUUCAAAUCAAGUAUCCACUGGAGUCAAAUGACAAUUCACUCUAGUAUUUUACCAAGAAAUACUUGAAGCUGACCCUCACAACAACUCCUCUGCCCUGCCAGAAGAUACCCAAGAAGCUAUUGAGGAAGAGCCGAGGGCAAUCACAACUAAUACUUCUGCAUAUGAUGUAGCUGCACUGGAAACAUCCAGCAAUUGUUGUGGCCAAAGGCAAAGAGAAGUCUGAUGCUGCACCAUCUAUGUUAAUGAUCUGUGGAAUGUCAAAACUGAAAACCAAAACAAGCCUAAUGUUGUACCUGAAGAAGUAUAAAGACUGAUCAUGGAUGUUCAUUAUUAGACACGAGUAUGCUGGAUCAUUUAAUAUAAGGAAAGUAUCAAAUAAUCCACUGGUGACAAUAAAAUCAUAGAAAAAAAUAAAAUAGCCAUCAUUAUUAAUAAAGGAAUGUCAAAAUCAGAGCUCAGAUGCAAGCUCCAAGAUGAUUGAAUGAUCUCAGAGUCCAGUGCAAGCCAAUCAUUAUUAUGGUGAUCUACAUCAAUGCUCCAGUCACAGAUACAAAGGGAACCGAUGCAGAAUGGUUCUACAGCCACCUGCAGUAUCUUAUUGACACAACCAAGACAUCAUAUUGACUACAGGAGAGUGGAAUGCUAAAACUGAAAGUAAAAUAGCAAAACAGAAAUGUCAUGAGUUAAUGGGAAAAACGCUGUUUCUCUUUACUACCUUUAAGGACCUCACCCUUACCUUAUUUGGGGAAUUGUCUCAUUUUUUAAGUUCUCAGAUGAAAUGGAAGCUAUGGACACAUGAAGGAAUAGAAGAGUCAAAGGAGAAAAGGAAAGGGGAUGCUCAAAAAGAUAAAAUGAGAAAAGUGAUAUAUCUGCCUGCAUAGGUAACAAAAGAGUGGCAAUGGCUGGUCGGUGCAAUAUGGAACUAAGGCAACAAAAUGUCACACCUGAUGUCAACUGACAUCCCCUUUGCAACCCGGAUACAUGCUGGCAAAGUGAAACCAAUGGAGCCUAAAAAGACUUGGGAGAUUGACAACUAUGAUAAAGCUUCCCAGAUUCUCCAUUAACCAACCCAUAAAUAAAUAAGAUGCUGGGUCCUUAAAGAUGACUCCAGAGUGUUGAGUGUGGUCUAAAUGUAGGCAUUUUGGAGAAUUUGGGCAGUGAAAACUGGAAUCCAGGAACAAGCAAGACCUAUAUAUAGCCUAGGUGUUAGCAUUCUGAAGGAUUGACUGAUGAAGACUCUAGGAAAAAGAAAAUCUAGGAUGGCACCUACUUAGUUUGUAGUCUUUCAGAUUACAUUAUAAUACUAACCAGUAGAAUAGUUUCUAACUAUUGCCAAGAUGUAUAGGGACACUUUUAAUGUAAGUUGGUUCUUAAUUGCUUGUCAAUACAAGCAGUUGUUACUUUUAAAUUAAUAAAGACCUGGCAGUUAAAUAUUCAAUGACCUAAGAUAUGCUUAUUUGAUAUAGUCAGAAAUGAAAAAAUGGAUUCUUUGACACCAGAAAAUAGCCACAGCUUUAGAGGGCUCACUUUGUGGUUCCAGAGCAUUAUCUCUUCUGCUACUCACCAAAGAAAAUGACAAACGUUAUCCUUCCUUGGUAGCAUAGGACCAUUCAAAAUAUGCAAGUCAAGAAAGUUUGUUGUAAAAUCUUCUCAGUGUUAAUAUUUUCACUCAGUGAAGCCUGUCAAGCAAUUUAACACAGUGACAAAUCCAUAAUAUCAAAAUGAAAGAUUUUUACAUGUUAGUUAAAUACUCUAAAUGAAUCCAUGCUUUUGCAGGCAUCAUUUAUCAUUUAUGGAAAGUUGCUGAGUAAAUCCUUUGGACUUUAUACCAUCACAUUCAUCCUUGUUCCAACUAAUGUAAUUCAAGCACAGUAUUGAUAUUUCUCUCUAGGUUUUUA